CAGAACAAACCGGAAGAAGACGUGAGGGAGACGCGUAGAAAGUCACCAAGCUUCACUUUAACGUCUUAAAGUGUCACAUCGUUCAAAGGUCCAUUGAUCCUGAGAACACUGUGGUGGCCUUAAUAGAGGCUUCAAUGAUCCGAUCCCCUUCCAGGUAGUGAGUGCUUGUGCUUCUAUGAAAGCAGAAUCAUUCCCCUCCUUUAGCUUCAAGAGCAGUUGGGUCUGACACCCCCUGCUCCUCAACACCUGCAGAACUUCUUUAGCUUUCAAGUCCAUGAAGGAUUAAACGGCCACAAACCUGCCAAGAGGAGGAAGUCCACCCAAACUGACAAGCAGGACCAGGAGACAAUGAAUGAGGGGAAGAUGGACGGAGCCAAAUAGAGGACAAGAGGACAAUGAGCCUAAACAUACAGCCUGGGCUACAAUGGAAUAGUUCACAUCAAAGCAUUCAUGUUGUAAAACGCCCAAAGCCCAAACCUCAACCACACCGAUUGGUUCUUAAAUGAGAUGAACAGUCAAACGUUUGGACACGUUCACUCAUUCGAUUCAAUGAGAAAGUGUCCAAACCUUUGGACUGAAUUGGGCUACAAAAACAUCUGUGAUAA
ensembl:lncRNA